AAAUAUUAAAAACUUUCAACAACGGAUCUCUUGGUUCUCGCAUCGAUGAAGAACGCAGCGAAAUGCGAUACGUAAUGUGAAUUGCAGAAUUCCGUGAAUCAUCGAAUCUUUGAACGCACAUUGCGCCCCUUGGUAUUCCAGGGGGCAUGCCUGUUUGAGCGUCAUUUCCUUCUCAAACAUUCUGUUUGGUAGUGAGUGAUACUCUUUGGAGUUAACUUGAAAUUGCUGGCCUUUUCAUUGGAUGUUUUUUUUCCAAAGAGAGGUUUCUCUGCGUGCUUGAGGUAUAAUGCAAGUACGGUCGUUUUAGGUUUUACCAACUGCGGCUAAUCUUUUUUUAUACUGAGCGUAUUGGAACGUUAUCGAUAAGAAGAGAGCGUCUAGGCGAACAAUGUUCUUAAAGUUUGACCUCAAAUCAGGUAGGAGUACCCGCUGAACUUAAGCAUAUCAAUAAGCGGAGGAAAAGAAACCAACCGGGAUUGCCUUAGUAACGGCGAGUGAAGCGGCAAAAGCUCAAAUUUGAAAUCUGGUACCUUCGGUGCCCGAGUUGUAAUUUGGAGAGGGCAACUUUGGGGCCGUUCCUUGUCUAUGUUCCUUGGAACAGGACGUCAUAGAGGGUGAGAAUCCCGUGUGGCGAGGAGUGCGGUUCUUUGUAAAGUGCCUUCGAAGAGUCGAGUUGUUUGGGAAUGCAGCUCUAAGUGGGUGGUAAAUUCCAUCUAAAGCUAAAUAUUGGCGAGAGACCGAUAGCGAACAAGUACAGUGAUGGAAAGAUGAAAAGAACUUUGAAAAGAGAGUGAAAAAGUACGUGAAAUUGUUGAAAGGGAAGGGCAUUUGAUCAGACAUGGUGUUUUGUGCCCUCUGCUCCUUGUGGGUAGGGGAAUCUCGC
rnacentral:rRNA from 2 species